rnacentral:rRNA from 1 species
GAUGAACGCUGGCGGCGUGCCUAAUACAUGCAAGUCGAGCGAACGGACGAGAAGCUUGCUUCUCUGAUGUUAGCGGCGGACGGGUGAGUAACACGUGGAUAACCUACCUAUAAGACUGGGAUAACUUCGGGAAACCGGAGCUAAUACCGGAUAAUAUUUUGAACCGCAUGGUUCAAAAGUGAAAGACGGUCUUGCUGUCACUUAUAGAUGGAUCCGCGCUGCAUUAGCUAGUUGGUAAGGUAACGGCUUACCAAGGCAACGAUGCAUAGCCGACCUGAGAGGGUGAUCGGCCACACUGGAACUGAGACACGGGCCAGACUCCUACGGGAGGCAGCAGUAGGGAAUCUUCCGCAAUGGGCGAAAGCCUGACGGAGCAACGCCGCGUGAGUGAUGAAGGUCUUCGGAUCGUAAAACUCUGUUAUUAGGGAAGAACAUAUGUGUAAGUAACUGUGCACAUCUUGACGGUACCUAAGCAGAAAGCCACGGCUAACUACGU